GAUGAACGCUGGCGGCGUGCCUAAUACAUGCAAGUCGAGCGAACAGACGAGGAGCUUGCUCCUCUGACGUUAGCGGCGGACGGGUGAGUAACACGUGGAUAACCUACCUAUAAGACUGGGAUAACUUCGGGAAACCGGAGCUAAUACCGGAUAAUAUAUUGAACCGCAUGGUUCAAUAGUGAAAGACGGUUUUGCUGUCACUUAUAGAUGGAUCCGCGCCGCAUUAGCUAGUUGGUAAGGUAACGGCUUACCAAGGCGACGAUGCGUAGCCGACCUGAGAGGGUGAUCGGCCACACUGGAACUGAGACACGGUCCAGACUCCUACGGGAGGCAGCAGUAGGGAAUCUUCCGCAAUGGGCGGAAGCCUGACGGAGCAACGCCGCGUGAGUGAUGAAGGUCUUCGGAUCGUAAAACUCUGUUAUUGGGGAAGAACAAAUGUGUAAGUAACUAUGCACGUCUUGACGGUACCUAAUCAGAAAGCCACGGCUAACUACGUG
rnacentral:rRNA from 1 species